rnacentral:sRNA from 1 species
UUUGAAGCAACGGGAAAAUAACCAACCCUCCACGAUAGAUGGGAGUUGGCUGUCAUUGCUUUUAUAAGUGCAAGAGUUCCCUGCUCACAGAGAAAUACGUUCUGCAAUUAGGGUUCUAUUACCAUUGGAAUAUAAGGUCUUGAGUGAGUAGAAGAAUUCUUGAGCGUAUUAACAGUAACCAUGGCUGCACUAGGAUGCAUGGAGUGAUUCAAUUUCUAAGGUUUUUACUCUUGUUGACGAUGAAACCAAGCGAAGAUCGCAAAGCCUUAGGAAGAUCUUACUGGCCUCGGUCUUGGCCAUGGUGGCAGAGACGACAUUUCUGGUAGACGUAACGAAGACGAUGCUCCAACUGAACGGCGAGUCGUUGUCUUCUGGGUCAAUCCAUCAUUCCUGACAUUGGGAGAGAUCGUGCGAGAGCAAGGUCCGCUGGUAUUGUACAAUGGCUUGUUGCUCAGAAAGAUGAAGGUUUACUCAAAAGGAAUAACCAAUUUCCUAUUUACAUGCGUUGUGGUUCAAAAACCCAUGAAAUGUUCACAUUCUUUUCCAAAGAGGAGAAUGUAUAAGUUGUUAGGUGUUUUUAAUCAGUGUAUAGUAUCAUAUUGAUCAGGCUACAUUCUUGUCCAA